rnacentral:tRNA from 1 species
AGCUCAGUGUUCUAGGUGUAUGAUUCUGGCUUUGGGUGAGAGAGGUCCCGGGUUCAAAUCCCGGCUGAGCCU